UAUCUCUGUAGAGUCUGCAUAUCAAUAAGCGGAGGAAAAGAAACUAACAAGGAUUCCCUAGUAACGGCGAGUGAAGCGGGAAGAGCUCAAAUUUGAAAUCUUCAAGGUUUGACCUUGACGAAUUGUAGUUUAAAGAAGUGUUUUCGGUUAGAGGAGUAGUAAAAGUUCUUUGGAAUAGGACAUCAUAGAGGGUGAGAAUCCCGUAUUUGACUAUUCUUUCUAGCUUUGUGACACACUUUCAAAGAGUCGGAUUGUUUGGGAAUGCAGUCCAAAAUGGGUGGUAAAUUUCAUCUAAAGCUAAAUAUUGGCGAGAGACCGAUAGCGAACAAGUACCGUGAGGGAAAGAUGAAAAGAACUUUGAAAAGAGAGUUAAACAGUACGUGAAAUUGUCAAAAGGGAAGCGUUUGACACCAGUGUUGUUUUUCCGAAAAUCAAUUAAAAAUUGAUUCAUGCCAGGUUGUAUUGACCUUAUCAGCUUGCAAUUUGGUUUUGGGUCUCUUUUUGAUGCACUUUUCGGUUAACAAGUCAACAUCAAUUUCCUUUGCUGUAAAAAGGUAAGAGGAAGGUGGCUUCAAUUUCGGUUGAAGUGUUUAUAGCCUUUUAUCUCUGCAGUCGGGGAGAUUGAGGUCUGCAGCGUAGAUCCUUCGGGGCUAGAUACAUUUAUGCUAAGUUAUAGCUUUUCAUAGACAACUUGUUGACUAUGUUUAGUCAUGUAGCUUACUCGUAAGUGCUAUUUUACCUACGCUUAGGAUGUUGAAGACUCUACAGAGAUA
rnacentral:rRNA from 1 species